UGCAACAAAGGACUUUGCUGGAACCACAAAAGUUAAAUGCUGUAUAUUAUAUUGUUGCACGCAGAUUAAAAAAGAGAUCGCCAGACAAGCAUUUUAUCAGGUCAUAUAUAGUUAAAUACUGUAACAUACGGAUUUCUCAGAAAAUAACUGACCUAAAUAAGACGAAAAUAACAAUUGAGGAGAUCCGCAAUUUACGACGAUUUAGAGAAGAGCAUGAUAAUAUCGAGGACGCCAAUAACCCAAGGAAUUAAUGGUUAGCUGUUAUAGUUUAUAAACCAUUUUUAUAUUUAUCUUAGUUCCCAAAGGGACACAAGAAUACUCUUGCCCCCUUUAUACAUAUGUACGUAUAAAAAUAUUAAUAUUAUAAAAAUAUUAAUGGUUAGUCGCUAUACCCUCUAUAAACAUUUUUCAUUUUUCUAUUAGUCCUGAGAAGGCAUAAAACUAUACAUAUGUAUAAAAAAAUUAAUUAUAACUAACUGUUUGCUACAUUUUAUAAACCCAUUUUAUAUUUAUCUUUUAAUCCCGAACGGGCACAAGAAUAUGCAUAUGUAUAAAAAUAUUAGUCGUAACUAAUGGUUAGCUGCUAUACCCUCUAUAAACAUUUUUUAUUUUUCUAUUAGCCCUGAAAAGGCAUGAAACUAUACAUAUGUAUAUAAAAUUUAUUUAUAACUAAUGGUUAUCUACAAUUUAUAAACCCUUUUUGUAUUUAUCUUUUAAUCCCGAACGGGCAAAAGAAUAUGCAUAUGUAUAAAAAUAUUAGUCGUAACUAAUGGUUAGCCGCUAUACCCUCUAUAAACAUUUUUUAUUUUUCUAUUAGUCCUGAGAAGGCAUAAAACUUUACAUAUGUAUAUAAACAUUUUAUAUAAUAAAAGAAUACUUCUUUCUUAAA